CCCUUAGAUGUUCUGGGCCGCACGCGUGCUACACUGGGUGGAUCAGCGGGUCAGGUUGCGCGAAAGUGUUUCCUAAUCUUUAAAUCCGCUCGUGAUGGGGAUUGACGGUUGCAAUUUUCCGUCAUGAACGAGGAAUACCUUGUAAGCGCGGGUCAUCAUCCCGCGCUGAAUACGUCCCUGCCCUUUGUACACACCGCCCGUCGCUCCUACCGAUUGAGUGGUCCGGUGAGGCUUUGGGAUCUGAGCGGAAAGAGCGUUUCGCUGUUUCUGCCCGGAAAACUCAGUCGAACCUUAUCAUUUAGAGGAAGGAGAAGUCGUAACA
rnacentral:rRNA from 1 species